UUCGCCCUUAGAGUUUGAUCCUGGCUCAGGAUGAACGCUAGCGGCAGGCCUAAUACAUGCAAGUCGAGCGGUAACAUAGAAGCUUGCUUCUGAUGACGAGCGGCAAACGGGUGCGUAACACGUAUGUAACUUACCCCUAACAGAAAGAUAGCCCAUGGAAACGUGGAUUAAUAUUUCAUAAUACUAGAACCGCAUGGUUCGAAGUUAAAAGAUCCGUCGGUUAGGGAUGGACAUGCGGCCUAUUAGCUAGUUGGUAAGGUAAUGGCUUACCAAGGCAACGAUAGGUAGGGGGCGUGAGAGCGUGAUCCCCCACACGGGCACUGAGACACGGGCCCGACUCCUACGGGAGGCAGCAGUAAGGAAUAUUGGUCAAUGGAGGAAACUCUGAACCAGCCAUGCCGCGUGCAGGAAGACGGCCCUCUGGGUUGUAAACUGCUUUUAUAUGCAAAGAAAAACAUCUUUUCUAGGGUGUCUGACGGUAGCAUACGAAUAAGGACCGGCUAACUCCGUGCCAGCAGCCGCGGUAAUACGGAGGGUCCAAGCGUUAUCCGGAAUCACUGGGUUUAAAGGGUGCGUAGGUGGUUAUUUAAGUCAGAAGUGAAAUCUUGCAGCUCAACUGUAAAACUGCUUUUGAAACUGAAUAACUUGAAUAUUUUUGAUGUGGGCGGAAUGAGUCAUGUAGCGGUGAAAUGCGUAGAUAUGACUCAGAACACCGAUUGCGAAGGCAGCUCACAAAGAAAUAUUGACACUGAGGCACGAAAGCGUGGGUAGCGAACAGGAUUAGAUACCCUGGUAGUCCACGCCGUAAACGAUGUUUACUCGUUAUUUAUGCGAUAUAGUAUAAGUGACCAAGCGAAAGCGUUAAGUAAACCACCUGGGAAGUACGGUCGCAAGGCUGAAACUCAAAGGAAUUGGCGGGGGUCCGCACAAGCGGUGGAGUAUGUGGUUUAAUUCGAUGAUAAGCGAGGAACCUUACCUGGAUUCAAUUCAAGUUGACAGUCUUAGAGAUAAGAUCUUCUUCGGACAACUUGAAAGGUGCUGCAUGGUUGUCGUCAGCUCGUGCCGUGAGGUGUUGGGUUAAGUCCCGCAACGAGCGCAACCCUUACCUUUAGUUGCCAGCACAUUAUGGUGGGAACUCUAGAGGAACUGCCUUCGUAAGGAGGAGGGAGGUGGGGAUGACGUCAAAUCAUCAUGGCCCUUAAGUCCAGGGCUACACACGUACUACAAUGGUCGGUACAAAGGGUUGCGACAUAGCGAUAUGAAGCCAAUCCCUAAAAGCCGAUCUCAGUUCGGAUCGAAGUCUGCAACUCGACUUCGUGAAGCUGGAAUCGCUAGUAAUCGCGUAUCAGCAAUGACGCGGUGAAUACGUUCCCGGACCUUGCACACACCGCCCGUCAAGCCAUGGAAGUUGGGGGCGCCUGAAGUCGGUAACCGUAAGGAGCCGCCUAGGGCGAAACUAGUAACUGGGGUUAAGUCGUAACAAGGUAACC
rnacentral:rRNA from 1 species